GGGAUUUCCUGGGUGUGUCUAAGGUGUUUUUUUUUCUAUUUCUAAACACCUUAGACACACCCAGGUAAUCCCUA